rnacentral:rRNA from 1 species
GGAUUAGAUACCCCGGUAGUCCACGCCGUAAACGAUGGAUACUAGCUGUUGGAGGUAUCGACCCCUCCAGUAGCGAAGCUAACGCGUUAAGUAUCCCGCCUGUGGAGUACGGUCGCAAGACUAAAACAUAAAGGAAUUGACGGGGACCCGCACAAGCGGUGGAUUGUGUUCUUUAAUUCGAUGAUAAGCGAUGAACCUUACCAGGGUUUGAAAUCCCAAGAAUUUUGCCGAAAGGCGAGAGUGCUUUAUUGAACUUGGUGACAGGUGAUGCAUGGCCGUCGUCAGCUCGUGUCGUGAGAUGUUUGGUUAAGUCCAUCAACGAGCGCAACCCUUGUGAAUAGUUGUAUUUUUCUAUUCAAACUGCCCCGGCAACGGGGAGGAAGGAGGGGAUGAU